rnacentral:rRNA from 1 species
UAGAGUUUGGUCCUGUUUCAGGACGAACGCUGGCGGCGUGCUUAACACAUGCAAGUCGAACGGAAAGGCCCUGCUUUUGUGGGGUGCUCGAGUGGCGAACGGGUGAGUAACACGUGAGUAACCUGCCCUUGACUUUGGGAUAACUUCAGGAAACUGGGGCUAAUACCGGAUAGGAGCUCCUGCUGCAUGGUGGGGGUUGGAAAGUUUCGGCGGUUGGGGAUGGACUCGCGGCUUAUCAGCUUGUUGGUGGGGUAGUGGCUUACCAAGGCUUUGACGGGUAGCCGGCCUGAGAGGGUGACCGGCCACAUUGGGACUGAGAUACGGCCCAGACUCCUACGGGAGGCAGCAGUGGGGAAUAUUGCACAAUGGGCGGAAGCCUGAUGCAGCAACGCCGCGUGCGGGAUGACGGCUUCGGGUUGUAAACCGCUUUCGCCUGUGACGAAGCGUGAGUGACGUAAUGGUAUGAUGCCNU